GUAAAUAAUAAAGGGCGUAUGGUGGAUGCCUAGGCUCUCAGAGGCGAUGAAGGACGUGAUAAGCUGCGAAAAGCUCCGUUUAGGUGCAAAUAACCUUUGAUGCGGAGAUCUCCGAAUGGGAUAACCCAAUAUGUUGAAGACAUAUUAUACCGUAAGGUAGGCAAACGCAGGGAACUGAAACAUCUAAGUACCUGCAGGAGAAGAAAACAAACGUGAUUCCCCCAGUAGCGGCGAGCGACCGGGGAUAAGCCCAAACCGUUAUUGUUUCGGCAGUAGCGGGGUAGUAGGACUGCGACAUUGAUGAAAUAAAUGAAAUGGAACACCUUGGAAAAUGUGAUCACAGAGGGUGAUAAUCCCGUACAUGUAAGUUUAUGAAUCAUAGCAGACUCCUGAGUAAGUCGGGACACGUGUAAUCCUGACCGAAUCCGCCGGGACCAUCCGGCAAGGCUAAAUACUCCUGAGAGACCGAUAGUGAACCAGUACCGUGAGGGAAAGGUGAAAAGCACUUCGAACAGAAGAGUGAAAUAGUCCCUGAACCCAUACGCCUACAAGCAGUCGGAGCCGCUUCGUGCGGUGACGGCGUGCCUUUUGCAUAAUGAGCCUACGAGUUACUCAUCACCAGCGAGGUUAAGUACUUCAGGUACGUAAGCCGAAGCGAAAGCGAGUCUGAAUAGGGCGUCAAGUUGGUGGUGGUAGACGCGAAACCUUAGUGAUCUACCCAUGGGCAGGGUGAAGGUUUGGUAACACAAACUGGAGGCCCGAACCGGUAAACGUUGAAAAGUUUUCGGAUGACCUGUGGGUAGGGGUGAAAGGCCAAUCAAACUGGGAAAUAGCUCGUACUCUCCGAAAUGCAUUUAGGUGCAGCCUCUGUUGUUUUGUUCUAGAGGUAGAGCUACUGAUUGGAUGCGAGGGCUUCACCGCCUAUCAAAUCCGGCCAAACUCCGAAUGCUAGAACAUGAAGACAGGGAGUGAGCCAGCGGGUGCUAAGGUCCGUUGACGAAAGAGGGAGAACUCAGACCAUCAGCUAAGGUCCCCAAUUAUAUGCUAAGUUGGAAUUAAAACGGGGUGGGACUGCUUAGACAGCUAGGAUGUUGGCUUGGAAGCAGCCAUUCAUUUAAAGAGUGCGUAACAGCUCACUAGUCGAGCGGUCCUGCAUGGAUAAUACGCGGGCAUAAGCAUAUAACCGAAGCUAUGGGAUUGUAGAUGAUACAAUCGGUAGGAGAGCAUUCCAUUCAGCAUAGAAGCAGUAUCGUGAGGUAUUGUGGAGCGGAUGGAAAAGCAAAUGUAGGCAUAAGUAACGAUAAUGCGGGUGAGAACCCCGCACGCCGAAAGAUCAAGGAUUCCCCGGCAAUGUCAAUCAUCCGGGGGUAAGUCGGAUCCUAAGGGUAAGCCGAGUGGCGAUCCCGAUGGCAAACAGGUUAAUAUUCCUGUACUGAUCAUAACUGCGAUGCAGCGACGCAGAGGUGACACUGCUGCGUACUGACGGAAUAGUACGUUGAAACCCGUAUUCUUUGAUACCGGUAGUGAAGCACGCCGGUAGAGAUGAAAGGUGAUAGUACCGCAAUGCUUCGGUUGCGCGGAUAAUGCAGGUAAGCUGACUGCCAAGAAAACCUGCUAAGCUUCAGGUAAUGAUCAUCCGUACUGUAAACGGACACACGUGAUCAGGUAGAAAAUACUAAGGCGCUCGAGAGAUUCAUGGUUAAGGAACUAGGCAAAAUGGUCCUGUAACUUCGGGAUAAAGGACGCUCUUGUGAAAGAGCCGCAGAUAAUAGGCCCAGGCGACUGUUUACCAAAAACACAUGGCUAUGCUAAUUCGCAAGAAGAUGUAUAUGGCCUGACACCUGCCCGGUGCCGGAAGGUUAAGAGGAGAGCUCAGAGGUAACUCGAAGGUUUGAAUUGAAGCCCCGGUAAACGGCGGCCGUAACUAUAACGGUCCUAAGGUAGCGAAAUUCCUUGUCGGGU
rnacentral:rRNA from 1 species